UACGAAGGGGGCUAGCGUUGCUCGGAAUCACUGGGCGUAAAGCGCACGUAGGCGGCUUUCUAAGUCAGGGGUGAAAUCCUGGAGCUCAACUCCAGAACUGCCUUUGAUACUGGAGAGCUUGAGUCCGGGAGAGGUGAGUGGAACUCCGGAGUGUAGAGGUGAAAUUCGUAGAUAUUCGGAAGAACACCAGUGGCGAAGGCGGCUCACUGGCCCGGUACUGACGCUGACUGUGCGAAAGCGUGGGGAGCAAACAGGGAUUAAGAAACCCGGGU
rnacentral:rRNA from 1 species